rnacentral:rRNA from 1 species
CCUACGGGAGGCAGCAGUGGGGAAUAUUGCACAAUGGGCGCAAGCCUGAUGCAGCCAUGCCGCGUGUGUGAAGAAGGCCUUUGGGUUGUAAAGCACUUUCAGCGGGGAGGAAGGCGGUGAGGUUAAUAACCUCAUCGAUUGACGUUACCCGCAGAAGAAGCACCGGCUAACUCCGUGCCAGCAGCCGCGGUAAUACGGAGGGUGCAAGCGUUAAUCGGAAUUACUGGGCGUAAAGCGCACGCAGGCGGUCUGUCAAGUCGGAUGUGAAAUCCCCGGGCUCAACCUGGGAACUGCAUUCGAAACUGGCAGGCUAGAGUCUUGUAGAGGGGGGUAGAAUUCCAGGUGUAGCGGUGAAAUGCGUAGAGAUCUGGAGGAAUACCGGUGGCGAAGGCGGCCCCCUGGACAAAGACUGACGCUCAGGUGCGAAAGCGUGGGGAGCAAACAGGAUUAGAUACCCUUGUAGUC